UUAAAUUGAAGAGUUUGAUCAUGGCUCAGAUUGAACGCUGGCGGCAGGCCUAACACAUGCAAGUCGAACGGUAACAGGAAGCAGCUUGCUGUUUUGCUGACGAGUGGCGGACGGGUGAGUAAUGUCUGGGAAACUGCCUGAUGGAGGGGGAUAACUACUGGAAACGGUAGCUAAUACCGCAUAACGUCGCAAGACCAAAGAGGGGGACCUUAGGGCCUCUUGCCAUCGGAUGUGCCCAGAUGGGAUUAGCUAGUAGGUGGGGUAACGGCUCACCUAGGCGACGAUCCCUAGCUGGUCUGAGAGGAUGACCAGCCACACUGGAACUGAGACACGGUCCAGACUCCUACGGGAGGCAGCAGUGGGGAAUAUUGCACAAUGGGCGCAAGCCUGAUGCAGCCAUGCCGCGUG
rnacentral:rRNA from 1 species